rnacentral:lncRNA from 1 species
UCUUGUUCUUAGGUUGUAUAUACUUCAUAUAUGCUGCCCCCUCUGAUUCUUGUUUUCAUCAAUUGUCGCAAUGAGACGAGCUUUGUUGUUUGCAAAUCGGCAUGAUAGGUAUCCCAUCUACAACCAAGAUUUGUUGUUGGCAGCUUUGUUUUUAUUCAUUGCAUUGGAGCUAACUACAUUCGGCUUCAAUAAAUCUUUGUUUU